GUGCCAGCCGCCGCGGUAAUACGGAGGGUGCAAGCGUUAAUCGGAAUUACUGGGCGUAAAGCGUACGUAGGCGGCUUGUUAAGCAAGAUGUGAAAGCCCCGGGCUCAACCUGGGAAUGGCAUUUUGAACUGGCAGGCUCGAGUUUUGAAGAGGGUGGUAGAAUUUCCUGUGUAGCGGUGAAAUGCGUAGAUAUAGGAAGGAAUACCAGUGGCGAAGGCGGCCACCUGGUCAAAAACUGACGCUGAGGUACGAAAGCGUGGGGAGCAAACAGGAUUAGAUACCCUAGUAGUCC
rnacentral:rRNA from 1 species